UGUUUACAGUCAGUGGUCUAUUAUUCCUCCCGUCUCGAUGAGGUGAUGCCCCUGUGUUUACAGUCAGUGGUCUAUUAUUCCUCCCGUCUCGAUGAGGUGAUGCCCCUGUGUUUACAGUCAGUGGUCUAUUAUUCCUCCCGUCUCGAUGAGGUGAUGCCCCUGUGUUUACAGUCAGUGGUCUAUUAUUCCUCCCGUCUCGAUGAGGUGACGCCCCUGUGUUUACAGUCAGUGGUCUAUUAUUCCUCCCGUCUCGAUGAGGUGAUGCCCCUGUGUUUACAGUCAGUGGUCUAUUAUUCCUCCCGUCUCGAUGAGGUGAUGCCCCUGUGUUUACAGUCAGUGGUCUAUUAUUCCUCCCGUCUCGAUGA